rnacentral:tRNA from 1 species
AGCGGGGUAGGGCAGCAUGGAGUGCCCGCCGGGCUCAUAACCCGGAGGUCGGAAGUUCAAGUCUUCCCCCCGCUA